GACGAACGCUGGCGGCAUGCCUAAUACAUGCAAGUCGAGUGAACAGAUGGAGUGCUUGCACUUCCGACGUUAGCGGCGAACGGGUGAGUAACACGUAAGGAAUCUACCUAUAAGCGGGGGAUAACAUUCGGAAACGGGUGCUAAUACCGCAUAAUAUCUUCUUCCGCAUGGAAGAAGAUUGAAAGACGGCUCCGCUGUCACUUACCGAUGACCUUGCGGUGCAUUACUUUGUUGGUGGGGUAACGGCCUACCAAGACGAUGAUGCAUAGCCGACCUGGGAGGGUGAUCGGCCACAUUGGGACUGAGACACGGCCCAAACUCCGACGGGAGGCAGCAGUAGGGAAUCUUCCGCAAUGGGCGAAAGCCUGACGGAGCAAUGCCGCGUGAGUGAAGAAGGCCUUCGGGUCGUAAAACUCUGUUAUAAGAGAAGAACAAAUUGUAGAGUAACUGCUACAGUCUUGACGGUAUCUUAUCAGAAAGCCACGGCUAACUACGUGCCAGCAGCCGCGGUAA
rnacentral:rRNA from 1 species